CAUGCAUGUAUAAGUAUAACCUGCCAGACAGGGAAACUGCGUACGGCUCAUUACACCAGCCUUAAUUUACUUGACCUUGACAACCUACUUGGAUAACUGUGGUAAUUCUAGAGCUAAUACAUGCACCAAAGCUCCGAUCCCUUGCGGAGAGGAGCGCAUUUGUUCGCCACAAAACCAAGCGCCCUCACGGGCGUUCAGUGUUGACUCAGAAUAACUAAGCUGAUCGCACGGUCUUGCACCGGCGACGUGUCUUUCAAGUGUCUGCCUUAUCAACUUUCGAUGGUAGUGUACCUGACUACCAUGGUGAUGACGGGUAACGGAGGAUCAGGGUUCGACUCCGGAGAAGGGGCCUGAGAAAUGGCCACUACGUCUAAGGAUGGCAGCAGGCGCGCAAAUUACCCACUCUCAACGCGAGGAGGUAGUGACGAGAAAUAACGAGACCGUUCUCACAAGAGGCCGGUCAUCGGAAUGGGUACAACACAAACCCUUUAACGAGUAUCUAUGAGAGGGCAAGUCUGGUGCCAGCAGCCGCGGUAAUUCCAGCUCUCAAAAUGCAUAGAAUUAUUGCUGCGGUUAAAAAGCUCGUAGUUGGAUCUGUGCUGGUCGCCCGGUCCACCCUCUGCGGUGCGCACUGGUGCGGCUGGCUUUCCUGUCCGCUUCCUCACCGGCGUUGGCCUUCAUCGGCAGGCGUCGGCGGGCGGACGAGUUUACUUUGAACAAAUCAGAGUGCUUCACACAGGCGUUUCGCUUGAAUGUUCGUGCAUGGAAUAAUAGAAGAGGAUUUCGGUCCGAUUUUAUUGGUUUUGCUGACCGAGAUAAUGGUUAACAGAGACAAACGGGGCCAUUCGUAUUGCUACGUGAGAGGUGAAAUUCUUGGACCGUAGCAAGACGGACUACAGCGAAAGCAUUU
rnacentral:rRNA from 1 species